ACGUCAUUAUCAAGGCAUUUUGAAUGCAGUCUCUUAUUUGCUGUGGACCUAACCAUAAAAAAACUGGGCUUUCUCUCUGUUACCCUAUUGGGAACGCUU
rnacentral:snoRNA from 1 species